GGUCGGAUCAUGGCCUGGGAUUUUCUGAACGCUGGCGGGAUGCUUUUGCCACAUGCAAGUCGAACGGCAGCACGGACUUCGGUCUGGUGGCGAGUGGCGAACGGGUGAGUAAUGUAUCGGAACGUGUGCCCAGUAGCGGGGAUAAUCAUGUGAAAAAGCAAGUAGCUAAUACCGCAUACGCAGCUCCCCCUUCGGGGAAAGUGGGACCUUCGGGCCUCGCACGACAGAGCGGCUGAUAUCGGAUUGAAGGUUGGCGGGGUAACGGUUCUUCACCAAGGCGACGAUCCAGCCGGUUUGAGAGGACGACCAGCCACACUGGGACUGGAGUGACACGGCCCAGACUCACGGGAGGCAGCGCAGUGGGGAAUUUUGGACAAUGGGGGAAACCAUCCAGCCAUCCUGCGUGCGAUGAAGGCCUUCUUGCCAGUAAAGCACUUUUGGCAGGAAAGAAACGGCACGAUAACACCCGCGCAACUGACGGUACCUGCAGAAUAAGCACCGGCUAACCACGCCAGCAGCCGCGGUAUCACGUAGGCAAGCGUUAAUCGGAAUUACUACAAGGUGUAAAGUAUAGUGGUUCGGGAAAGAAAGAUGAAAUCCCAGAGCUUAACUUUUGAACUGCAUUAACUACCGAGCUAGAGUGUGUCAGAGGGAGGUGGAAUUCGCGUGUAGCAGUGAAAUGCGAGAUAUGCGUGAGGAACACCGAUGGCGAAGCAGCCCUUCGGGAUAACACUGACGCUCAUGCACGAAAGCGCGGGGAGCAAAACAGGAUUUCAGGAUACCCUGGUAGUCCACGCCCUAAACGAUGUCAACUAGCUGUUGGGGGCCUUCGGGCCUGGCGGCAGCGCAGCUAACGCGUGAAGCUGACCGCCUGGGGAGUACGGUCGCAAGAUUAAAAAACCUCAAAGGAAUUGACGGGGACCCGCACAAGCGGUGGAUGAUGUGAUUUCAAUCUGAUGCAACGCGAAAACUCCACUACCCUUUGACAUGUCUGGAAUCCCGGGGAAGAGACGUUGGGGAGUGCUCUCGCAAGAGAACCGAACACAGGUGCUGCAUGGCUGUCGUCAGCCUGUGUCGUGAGGAUGUUGGGUUAAGUCCCGCAACGAGCGCACUUCUUGUCAUUAGUUGGCUACGAAAGGGCACUUGCAUCGACUGCUGGUGACAAACCGGGAGGAAGGUGGGGAUGGCGUCAAGUCCUCAUGGCCCUUAUGGGUAGGGCUUCACACGUCAUACAAUGGUCGGGACAGAGGGUCGCCAACCCGCGAGGGGAGCCAAUCCCAGAAAACCCGAUCGUAGUCCGGAUCGCAGUCUGCAACUCGACUGCGUGAAGUCGGAAUCGCUAGUAAUCGCGGAUCAGCAUGUCGCGGUGAAUACGUUCCCGGGUCUUGUACACACCGCCCGUCACACCAUGGGAGUGGGCUUUACCAGAAGUAGUUAGCCUAACCGUAAGGAGGGCGAUUACCACGGUAGAUUCAUGAUUGGGGUGAAGUCGUAACAAGGUAA
rnacentral:rRNA from 1 species